rnacentral:rRNA from 1 species
AUGGCUUCUCCCUCGGAGCUGCCGGAGCUGCCGCUGGAGACGCGGUGCCUGCCGUUCGCGCUGCGCCAGUACGCCGGCUUCUGGCUGCCGGAGGCGGUGCUGGCGCGCGGCCUCCCGGCGGUGCGCGACCGCUUCGCGCCGAGGCUCGACGACGUGCUCCUCGCCAGCUUCCCCAAGUCCGGCACCACCUGGCUCAAGGCCCUCGCCUUCGCCACCGCGCGCCGUGCCGUGCACCCGCCGUCCGACCACGACCACCCGCUCCGCCACGGCAACCCGCACGACCUCGUCCCGUUCCUCGAGUUUGGCUUCACGCUCGCCUACGACGCCGACGCCCUGGCGGCCGGCCUCGAGGCGCUCCCUUCCCCGCGCCUGCUGGCCACGCACCUGCCCUUCUCCCUCCUCCCCGGCCGCCUCGCCGCCGCCGGCCGCAUCGUCUACGUCUGCCGGCACCCCAAGGACGCGCUCGUCUCAGCCUGGACCUUCACCAGGAAGGCGUCGGGGAGCAUGGGCGUGGACGCGGAGUCCUACUCGCUCCGGGAGGCCGUGGAGCUCUUCUGCGCGGGGCGCUGCGUAGCCGGCCCGCAAUGGCGGCACGUGGUCGAGUACUGGGAGGCGAGCCUCAGCCGUCGGAACGUGCUGUUCCUCAGGUACGAGGAGAUGCUCCGCGACCCCGUGGGGAGCCUGAGGACGAUGGCGGGGUUCAUGGGGUGCGCCUUCUCGCCGGGGGAGGAGGAGCGAGGCGUGCCGCAGGCCAUCGUGGAGCUGUGCAGCCUGGAGAAGCAAAAGAAUGUGGAGGCGAGUCGGGACGACGGAAGGACGGCAGAUGGCAUCAAGGCCGACGCCUACUUCAGGAAGGGGGUGGCCGCGGAUUGGAGCAGCCACAUGACGCCGGAGAUGGGGAAGAUGGUGGACGAGGCUGUGGAGGACGGGCUCCGGGGGUCUGGUUUCACCUUCGCCGACUCAACUCCGGCCAACCGUGAAAAAUGA